GCAGGAGCAAUUUUACAGCAGCACAUGUCCAAUACAGCUUUGACUGCAGGAUUCAUAGACCGCUGAACUUGAACGGUUCAUACAUUACUUAACUCGCAGUCGCAUCACAGAUGUUGACAUGAUCAUGUUGACCAUCUAUCCCCAGGCCCCCAUCUCAUCUACACUGCAACACGUGCUCCUCCCUCUCGUAGUUCAGUUGUUAUGGCAACCAACAGUUUGCUAGUUGUUGUUAGCAGCUAUUUAACUUUCGCUAACUUAGUGUAGCUGACUGCUACUGCUUUCACAUAAGAGUGGUCUAUCUUGAUGAUUAUAGAUGCAUUAGUUUAUGUCAAUAUGGACACGGAUCCUUCAACGCGUUGGAAUGCUCUUUUUGACAGCUUCAAACCCCAUAUUCCGUCCAUUGAUUCGGAUUCUUCAUCAUCUGAAAAUGAAGAAGACAUAUCCAUCUUUCGCCGACCAGUAGCCCUUCUUCCUAAACACAUAGAGGGCCUAGAGUGUCUGUCAUUGGAGGACUCUGAAAUAGAGGAGCUUCUAAUAUCUAUGGCACAGCCACAACUGUGUUUGACAGAGGAAACCUUUUGCCCUCAUAGAGAGGCUAGAACUGAACCCCAUGGAGUUUAUCAAGCCACUGAUUUAGCCCAACAGGGCACACUCCAGGAGCUCAGUCCCAUAGGUAAUAAGGUAAAUGAGAUAUGCAGCCAUGACUCUAUUAGAAAUGCAGCUUGGGCAGGAGGCCAUCCAUGCAGCAACGUUCCUGUGGAGAUGAAAGGGGACACCUCAGCGCACCACAGCCAUGGCACACUAAACAGACAAAAAACAACUGAGUCCACAUCGCCACACCCUUCACAUAACACAGCUUGUGAAGAAAACACAUUGGAAUCACCCAAUGCUUUGAGAAAGACACAGAGAACUGAACCAAAUGGCUCUAUGAAAAAGCCACUACAAAAUAGUCAAACUGUUUUGUCUUUUGAGCCACUGGAGCACUGGGAUCUGGACCAGAUUCUUCUGACUCUUCAAACAAAUAGACUCUUUUUAGGAGGCAGUGUGUCUGACGAACCUAUGGAAAUACAACCAGAUGGAGACAAUGUAAGGUCACAGGAUACUAUAUUGGAGAGGCUGGCUGCUUUCUGUAGGACACAGUCAAGUGGAGAUGCUGAAGAGGAAAGAGAAACUGCGCCAGAUAAAACUUCUGGUGUGCCUCAGAAAGCACCUGUCCAACAUCCUACCAAUUUCAGACAAAAUGGUGGAUGGAGAAAGUCUUUCAAAAGGAUGGCAUUUGAGUUGCAGCCAAGCCGCCAGGAAGCGCCCACCGUUUAUAUUGAUUUACGUAACCCUGAGCCUCCCACGAACACAACCAGACCAUGUAACAGCACUUCAUCACAAACCAUGAAACUGACCAACCCCAACCUGCACGACGAAAACCAAUCUGAUGAGAAAACAGACAGUAAUAUACGGUCUGGUUUACUGAAUGGAAAAGAGGAAGUAACUGGAAAGAGCCUGUUACUCAGAAUGUUACGCGAGGCGAACAGAAACAGGAGAGAGGCGGACAGGAAAGAUCCAGUUCCAGCAGAUUCGACAUGCAGAACCCCCAGAAGAGUGGCCUUGAAGGACAAGCUGCCUGAGGCUAACAAUGAGAUAACAUCUCUGCUUCCAGAGGUGGACAACCAAACCACAUCUCCCACAAUGAAGCGUGACCAAAACAGGCCGCCAGUUGAGAGAACACCUGCUAUUCAGCAGAGUGCUACUACCGGGCAGCCAAAGAAACAAAGUGACCGAGAGCAGAGAGAGCAACAGAAACAGAGAGCACAGCGCCAGCAACAGCUCCAGAAACAGCUGGAAAGCUUUAGACCAACAAGGUCUGCCGGAGACAGGGAACCUGCCGCUGAGAAGACUGAUGUUCUUUAUGACGCUGAGGCCUCUCACCUACAGUCAGUUAAUACUCUGCCUGCUGAUAUGGAGGAUAAGGGGUGCUUGCUGCUGACUGUAUGCCUCUCCAGUCCAGGCCUGGUAGCCAGCAGCAGUCAUCAUUGGAAAGCACCAACAGUGGAGUCAGCCACAACCAAAUCCCAUAUAUACAAUGCUCUGGUUGCUUGGUUUCUGUCUUUGGUUGGAGCACCAGGCCCUCAAGGUAGUGAUGACAGGGCUGCUGUACCUUUUUGGGUGGCUGGCCUACAGCAGCUGUGGACAGAGGAUGGACUGGCUCUACACAUCUGUGCUGUGUCCCACGGAGAGAGCCUACAACUUGUCCAAAAACCCCGGAAACGGGGUGUGGAUAAGGGUCAUAGUGUGUUCCAGCAGCGUGUCUGCAGGUUCCUCUCUCAGACCUCCCUCAGAGCCAUCACCCAUUGGCUGCCGCAGCUCAGGAGCUUAUUAGACCAACAGGCCUAUCCCCCAACCGUCCACAUACCUGCCUCCUGCCUGGACAGCUUUAUCUCUGUCAACUCAGACACAAUGGCUGUGAAGAGGACCUUUGGUCUGAACCCAGGCUUCUAUUGGCAGACUGUUGAGACUCAGGAAGUCAGCUGUCAGAGGCCUGAGACCAUGUGCACUCAGCUGCUACACACAGAGGUAGCUGUUGCUCUGGGAUACACGUCUUUGUUCCUGCAUCCCUUGGUGGUUCACCACACCCUCCAGCUUCUCCACAACUCAGGCCUGGAUGUGUGUGGCCUCCGCCUCCUUUACCCUCCUGGCCUUCUGACCAACAGCGCCGGCAGGGUAUCCUACGGGGAGGGAGAUGAUGGGGCCGAUCAGCCCGUCCUUGCCCUGGCUGUCCGAGGGCCUCACGCCCGCACCGUGUGGCAGGAUGUAACAGGCCCUUCAGACCCCCUGCUGGCUAGGAAGACAGACCCGGCAUCCAUCAACGCCCUGCACUACAGCAGCAAGAACUUGCCGCUCUUCUAUUCCCCACGCCUGGCCAGCAGUGUGCACAGGGAACUGGUCACGUGGUUCGCAGGGAGAGUUCCAGGAAAUAAUUCCCAGAACCCUGACCAGGCUCCAACUGACAGCUCUGCCCCUGGUGGAGAGGGAAGCAGCCCCUUGUUUUUAACCAGGUCCUCUACCACCCUGUGUGCUACUGUUAAAGUGGACGUGUUCUUGAUAGUGUCUCCAGCGGUGGCGCCAUGCUGCUACAGCCAGGUUCUGUCUGUGUGUGAGGGCAGAGGGUUCAGUCUGAGGGGGGUCCAGAGGCUGCAGCUCCCCACCAAACGAACCCAGGCACUCGGACUCACCGGUCAGCAGGUGUCAGUGUUCUGCAGUCUGCCCACUGUUACUGUGGAUGAGAAGAAGGUUGAGCUGUCUUCCCACUGCCUGGUCUUACUUCUGAGGAGAGAGAGUGGCCUGCGUCACUGUGCCAGCCUGCCUGCAGCCCUUGUGAAAGAGUUGGAGAAGCAGAGGUUGUUGGGAUAUAUCCACAUCAGACUGUCAGAUGAAGGAAAGCUGGACCCAAGCAGCUGCUUUCACAUGUUGCCCUACAGAGAGAGCCUGCUCCAUAGCUUUGGUGGGCGAAUGUGGGCCGUACCCAACCCCUGCAAUGUGGUGCUGUCCAAACACAGGUGUCCAUCCAACCCAGAGCUGGAGCAGGUGGUGGUGCUUACGCUGGCUGGAAGGGACAUCAGUCAGGGCCUGAGCCUGCUAAACAGGCUCUGGACAGGGGACACAACAGGCAAUGUCGGGGAGGAUGGAUUUGAGCUGCUGGCCCUGAAGUGGCUGCCCACAUUGUCCCGGCAGCAGGCGCGGGAAGUGAGCCCCUACGAGGUAGGAGACCGGCUGUGGCAGAGCAGCCUGGUGGGCCUGGCCUCCUCCCCUGCCCUGGUGUGUGUCCUGAGGAGGGUGGACGCCUUCGCCACUCUACGGCGGCUCCUGCCACGGGACUACCCCGGGAAUCUGAACAUACUGUUGUCUCCCACUCCUGAACUGGCCUUCAGACAAGCAUCCCUCUUCUUCUCCCUGGGAGACAUGAUCCCUGAUCACAGUGUGCGCCCAUUACUGAAGUUCCUACCCCCACCUCGCAUUAAUGUAGCUGGUUCCCAUUGUGAGUCAUUGUUAAACUGCAUGGUGCAGGGCCCGCAGCCUCUGGUCACACUGUGUCUGUUCAAGCCUGGAGUGUGGAGCCAUGCUCUGGGGAAAAUCCUCAGCAAAGUCCAGCGGAGUGGCUUCACUGUGGUGGGCCUGCAUGUGCUGGUUCUGGACAAUAGCACAGCUGUGUCACUGGUGUCUGCUGCAGAGCAUCAGGACCCCUCUGCUGUAGAAGCCCAUGUCCAGUACUUGAGCUCUGGGCCUUCCCUGGCUCUGUGUCUGCAGAGGGAGAACGCUGUGAAGAGGCUAUUGGACGUGCUGGGACCUGAGGACCCUGCCCAGGCCCGCAGUCAGGACCAAUUCCUCUGGAGGGCCUAUUACAGCUCGGACCAGCUACACAGCGGCAUCUAUGGAUCAAGGAGCUAUCAGAGAGCUGUUCAGGAUGUGAAGAGGCUGUUCCCUCAGGGCCUAUGCUGCACAGAGACCAACACCAUGAGACAGGAGCAGAUACCCAGUGUACAUUCAGACCCUUUGGCUUGUCUGGCCCGUGAACAGAGCCACACUCUUGCUGCUGCGAACAAGCCAUCUUUAUCACACCUUAUGGCUUCUGGACUGAAUGGAGCAGGGCUCCUGGUCCGCAGUGCUCUCUGCCAAACCACCUGCCUGCUGCUGCCCAACAGUGUACUGGGCCCAGCCCCCAUCCACCUGGACCUACUUGAGCAGCUGCUGAGGACAGGCUGCCACCUGGUGGCCGGGAGGAUGACUGUCCUGGAUGAGACCCAGAGAUGUCACAUAGCUGAGACACUGAUGCUACCCUCUGAGAGGGAUGGGAAGAUUUGUGCUCUACCCGAGGGCCCUUGUCUUAUCGUUGUUCUACAGAAAGAUAACGUUGUGACCUGCUUUGACUCCAUGCUUGAAAGUAUUUACAGAGAGAGGUCUAACCUUGCCGAAGUGGGGAAAAUGCUGAUUUAUCCCAGCACUGAAAAAAAAGCAUUGCAGCUUCUGUGCUAUCUAUUUGAUGUCCUGUCUCCUGAUAGUCAUCAUGCCAUUGUACCACAGCAAUCUGAGUGA
rnacentral:lncRNA from 1 species